rnacentral:rRNA from 1 species
GUCUAUGGCUAUGCCACCCUGAACGUGCCCAAUCCCGUCUGAUCUCGGAAGCUAAGCAGGGUCUAAGCAGGGUCAGGCCUGGUUUGUACUUGGAUGGGAGACCACCCAGGAAUACCAGGUGCUGUAGAUG